CGUCCCGUUUCGUGAGUGUUUCUUCGUUCAGGAGCUACCAGAAAGCAGCCCACCCCCACCCUCAUAAAAAAAAUAAGCGAGUGGGGAAGAGCCAGCCCCACGCCGGUCCGCCUCCCGCCCGCGGCCCCGCCUCCCUCCCGCUUGCCGCCCGGCUCGGCGUUUCUUCGCCCCGAGUUCUCCAUCCCCUGGAUCGCGGGCUCGCGGGGAAGAGGAUCGAGGAAAGAACUCGACUACCCUGUUUGGAUCAAGAUCAGCAAGGGAUGCCCACCCAGGAGGAGAAGGCAGAUUCCUUAGACCUACUGACUGCAGCAUCUACACCAGGUAACAACAGUGCUCAUUCCACCUCCUGCACCCACCACACACAGUCUUGGAAUGUAAACCCUAAUAAUUUUGCCCAGAGAUACCAACAAGAACAUGGAGUGCUGGACAUCUGGACCCAGAAGAUGAUCAUGUCCUGUUGUGGGAGGCAGAGUUCCUGCCUCCUAGGAGGACCUCCCCAUCUGAUCCACAGGAUCCCACCUGAUUCAACCACAGGCCACUGAUUUGGUUUAAGGUUUCUAGUUCUAGAAAUAUGCACAUUCCCAGGUAGCAAUGGAGGAUGAUGUUUUCAGGGUCUGCAGGUCAUUUCUAGCACCCUAGGACUGGGUUUGUCAUUCGCUGGGAGGAAGUAUGAGGUGUAAGGAUGGUUAAGAAGCAGAAUUGUCUGGGUCUGGAUCAUGGCAACCAAAUAAAGAAGCAGGGAUGACUCGAGCCCAACUUCUCAGUUUUUGCUGAGGUCCAUCCUUGGCUUCUGGGUGCUAUCUCAGGCAAGAUAUUAGAAAGAGAGUUUUAAGAUUUAGGGCUGUUUUUCGAAAAAGUCAAGUACAUAGUAGCCCCUAUAGUCUAUUUUCUGUUGUUAUAAUAAAAUCCCCAAGAUUGGGUAACUUAUAAAGCAGAGAUGUUUAUUUUGGCUCAUGGUUCUGAAGGCUGGGAAAUCUAAGACCACGGUGGUGGUGAAAGCUUCAUGCUGUUUCAACUCAUGGCAGAAAGUGGAAGGGAUCAUAUGGUGAGACAGAAAGCAAGAGAAAGCCAUGAAAGCUGGACACUUCAUAGCAUUUCCCUCCCUCCCUCCCUCCCUCCCCCUCCCUUCCAUCUGUCUAUCUAUCUAUCUGUCUCUCAUUGAAUUUUUUUUUUGUAUAAAAUCUGCCUACUUGCCAGGAUGGCAUUUUCUGUCCUGGGUUUGGCAGUCUCGUUACUUGAGUCCUGACAGUCAGAGAUUAUUGAUCCUCUUAUUGGAAGCAGAGGCAUAAACAUGAAGGAUGUCUUCAUCAUUUUCUUUUCCUACCUGGGAGCGUGGCAGGGGCCUUUGUUGGAGUUGCUAAAGUGACUGCUGAGGAAUUUACCAUGGCCCUUCGCUCCAUCCCUCCUCCUAUACCCUGAUGCCCCACCAUAUCGGCUGAGACCAGCCUUGAUGUAUUCUUUUCUUUCCUUUUUUUCCCUUGUCUCUCUUUCUUUUCUUUCUUUUUUUCUUUCUUCUCUUCCUUCCCUUCCUUUCUUCUUUUUUGUUCACUCAUCUCACUGCUUGACCAGUCCUAUCACAUACUAAGAUACAUCCAGAUGUCACUCCUGGUUGACUCCCCAAAACCAAAAAGAUUUUUUGGAUCAAUUCCUAGGAUCCUCAAGCUACUUUCUUCCAGAGAAAGACUGAUCCAGAAUUGGGUAAUGGAAUAACACUGGUCAGGGAGAUCCCUCAUAGUGCUGGGAAGGCAGUGGCAGCUCCACUUGAAGUUCUAGGCCACUAUUCCUUGCCAUGGUUCUGGGCGAUCAAAACUUUGUGGUACUAAUAAAUUCCUUGACCUUUUACUUCACAGGAAGCAAGACAGUCAAAUUCCUCUCUUUAAUUUGCACACAGGCACUCAGUUUUUCAGUGAGAGAAUUGGUGUGUGAACAUUCUGGGGAGCUCACCUUGUUCUCAUCAGUGAAUUGUCAGAUCCUCUCACAUGGGGUGUGUGCUGUAGUUAAAAUUCUGAAAAUAUGUCUCAGCAUACCAACCAAAUAUAAAGGCAUCCUUUAAUGGGUGUAUGCUUGUAUGGAAAGCAUCUCCACUGAUUUGUAAUAGCCUUUUGGGGAGUUGUCUCAAAAGGCAGAGGCAGAAAUCUUUUUUCUUUUUAAUAUAGUGUAGUUUUGUGUUUCUCUAUGAAACUUCAAAUUAGGAAAAUGGUAAACUGUAAUCAUAUUUUGCAUUAAAAUUUUAAUUUUAAGUGAUUUUUAAGAAUUUUUAUAAUAAUCAGAAGAAUUCCUUUGUAUAAUUGCUGUGAAAUUGUACUUUGUAUAGUAGAUUGGAGAUAUAGAUGAUUUAACCUAUGACAUUACUAGAAUGAAAACAAUAAAAUAGGGAAGAUGAAUAUGAUAAAAAUGUAUUAUAUGCAUUUAAUCCCCUAAAAAUGGUAAACUAAGGGGAAGGGCUGGGCAGUGGAGCAACUGGAGAGUGAAAAUGAUUGAAGUGUGUUCUGUGGAUCUAUGAAUCUGCUAAAAUGAAACCCAUUAAUCCAUAUAACUAAGAGGCACUGAUUUUAAAAAGAUGUAUAGCAAAAAAUCAUUUAUUAGGUGUAUCCCUCCUGAAUGUCAAUGGUCUAUUGCAAAUAUACUUUUAAAUAAUUGAAAGUAUUGUACACAUUCUAUUUUUUAAAAGACACAAUGAGUUCCAGGAAACCAAUAGAGAAAUGGCCAACUCUCUGUUUUUCUUAAUGAGGAUCAUAGUUUUUAUGAUGACAGAACAGUGGCUUUUGUAAUUCUCAGCAACCUUGGAAAAUGUUCUAAUGCAAAAUUGACUAACAUUGUUAAAAUAAUGGGAUAAGUAAGUCAUUUCAAGAGUCUGUGUCCAAAUUUAAACCACCAUGUUGUCCAGCCAAGGAUGUUGAAAAUUAAGUCCUGGUCAAAACUUAUUAUGGUUGGCAUCAGAAUGAGAAGUUAAGUGGGUGUCUUGGUCAAAAAUAAAAGAGUUAAGAGGCUGGGGAUUUAACUCAGUGGUUCCACCGCCUGCCUCGCAAAUGUAAGGACCUGAGUUCGAUUCCUGGUCCCCCCCCCCAGAAAAAAAAGAGUUAAAAUUCAGAAAUAGAUCUAGCUAUUUUCUGUGUUAAGAAAAUCUCCAAGAAAUAAUCCAGUUUUGAAUUAGAAUGUCUUAGAAAUGGAGAGAAAAGAAAAGUAAUUAUUUUCUUUGCUGUGGUGCAUUGAAAAAAAUUCUAGGUUUUAUAAGAAGAUCCAUGAUUUUAAAGACUGGAAGAGACCUUCUUUGGUCUUUUGCUUUUUAACCCAUAUGACUAUCUGUCAAACCCAAGGGACCCCAUAAAUUCCUAUCUACGUUGUCCUUUCCCAUCAGUUAUUACUAUAUUACUAUAAAAAGGAAUUUAGGGCCAGUUUACAGGGUGACACUGUGGAUAACAAAUUAUCUACACCAAAAUCUGUUGUGAAUACUGAUUGAAUGUCAUGUAAAUUUUCUACAAAAAGGGCCCAAAGGGACUGAGUUUAAGUUGUGUAAAGAUUUGGAGAGGGAGUGUUUUGUUUAAAUGCUGGCUUGAUCACUUUGAAAGAUUGAAUGAAUAGUUUCACUAAAUUUAACUUUUAAAAUAAAAGGCCAAUUCUGUCAGUGUUAAAUGUACUGUGCAUGACUGGAAGAACACACUUAGUCCUAGAAUGGUAGAACCCAUACCUGGAUGACAUUUAGAUAUCAUCUAUUAAAACUCAGCAACAUUCCAGAUGGCACCAAGGAUAAGAAAUAGUGAGUGAGUGACUUCACCAGAGUUUCACGGUUUAGUGUUCCUUCUGUAACCGUCUAAGAAACCAUACUGCCUCAUCCAUUUGUGCACAAGUAAAGGAUUCUAAAGUCAUCAUUUAUCCAUCCAUCCAUCCAUCCUUCCAAAAUAUUAUCUAUUAACCAUCUUUCUGUUUUGGGUGGGAUCCUAGCAGUACAAGGAGAGAAGCCAUCUGUAUCUUCAAAAGGAGGUCACACUAUGUACUGCAAUGCUUGUCCUGCUAAAGGACUGCACAGGAUUCUAUGGAAAUAUAAGGGAGAGGUGUUGCAAACUGACUGGAGGUGAUUAAAGAUGACUAUCCAAGAAAUCUGACAUCUGUGCCAAGUCUUGGAGCAUGGUAGCAUUGAUCCCCAACUCUGUUCUUCCUUUUCAAAAUUAUUUAGUUUGUGGAUUUCUUUUACCUUUCCAUAUAAAUUUUAGAAUCAGUUUGUCAGUGGCUACAAAAAAUUAUGAAUACUGUGCUUUUCCUACAAGGCAAUUCCACUUUUUCAUUCCUAGUUUUAGAAGUUUGAGGGUUUUUUUCUCUUUUCUUGGUGAUUUGAGGUAAAGGUUUAUCAGUUUUGUUGAAGUUUUUCAAAGAACCAACCUUUGAUUUCAUUGAUUUUUCUCUAUUGCCCAUCCAUUCUGUAUUUCAUUGAUUUCCACUCUGAUCUUUAUUAUUCCUUUCCUUCUGCUUGCUUUGUUUCAUUUGCUCUUUUUUCCUCCUAGUUUCUCAGUGUAGAAAUUUAGGUUACUAACUUGAGAUAUUUCUGUUUAAAAGGCAUUUACAAUGAUACAUUUCCUUUUUUUUGUAUAUCCUUUUAUUGGUACAUUUUAGGUGUACAAUAUAAUGACAUUCAUCAUUGGAGAUAUGCACCUUUAUAUACUCUCUUGGUUCUUAUUCUUUCCCCCUUCCCCUGCCCUCCCUUCAACCCCUCCAUCCCUCCCUAUUUACAAAGAUUUCGUUUCCAUUUUUUCAUUUUCUCAAAUUAAUUCCAUUCCUUUCUUUCCUUUCCCCUACCC
rnacentral:lncRNA from 1 species